GACCCGGGAGCGCGCUCCCGUACCUGAGCCCGGCAGCGAGGGAGGGCCGGAGGCUCGCGGCCGUGGCAACGGGCAGCCUCUUCGCGAGAUCUUGGACCAAAGGAUCGUGGGGAAUUACCUACAGCUGACGGUGAUAAAUGAAAAUGGCAUGUUUUGUGAAAUUCUUGGACACUUCGUAUAGUAUCAGCUCUAGGCAAAAUGGGAAGGGUUGUUGUUGCACACUGUGAGAGGGAGUGAAGACUGUCAUUAACUCUACAAGCACUGUACAUUGCUGAGCAAGAUAAUAAUAAGUCUAUUUAUAAUACCAGUGGAAA